GAAAAAAAGGGGGAGGAAUUUUCUUUAAUUCAAUAGCUCCUUAGACAUUUUUUUCUCCAAAUAACCGAAUCUACAGGACAUUAUACCCCUAAUAUAACCAAUGUUACAGAGAAAGCCCAUCAAGGGAAUAAAAUAUGGAGAAAUUCUAGUUAGAGAUAAGAUUAAGUAUUUCAUACUAAAAUAAAAUUACUAGACGUGAGAAUAAAUAUUUUUAAAAUCCCUCGAUUUACAGUCUUCGUUCUGAUUUCCGUAAUUUAUUUAUUUAUUUAUUAUUUGUUUUAUAUAUCGGUGGUUAGUUUAUAAUAAUAAUUGCCGUUUUUUAUUAUGUGUUAACUCCGAAUAACUGCUCACUUUUCCCCAGCAUGUGAUGGGGGCAGGCUGGUUACUGUAUAGAGAUUAUGGGAUCUUCCCAAGUGAGGGAUCCUUGGAUCCUGCUGAAAUAUUAUGUAGGGGUUUCCAUGGGACCCCAAAACGGCUGAUGGUCCCCAGUUUAGAGAUCUGGAGUUAAUCUGUAAGGCUUUGUAUGGAGAGCUGGCCAGGGUUUUAGCGUCACAUCCAGCUGUCAGUCUUCGAAUUUAUGAAAUGUUUUCUGCUACAAAGUUGCAGCGAUGAAUGGAAUACGGCGUCAGACAAUGUAUCCCAAAAUCAGAAUGCUCGCUGUUAGAGCGCUUCAAGCCGUGUGUUCUUUGUAGAAUGGAUGUUCCACGGGGGGGCGCUAGAGGGCUGUGUAUGAAAGGGAUUCUGAGGCUUGUUCUCCAGUCAAGAUAGUCCAGUCUACAAAUGGACAGUAACAUUGCAACAGGGCAAAUAGAAUGGGGUUGGGUUCCUCUACCCCACACACCCUAAAUCCACCAAGGUCACAGAGAGGUCAGUCUUGGGCUCAGUGUAAAAGAGGGGAGAAAUAAAGUACUCUCCAAAAAUAAACAAAAUGACAUUUUUUUGAGAGGCACAGGGAGCUUUGGGGAAGUUGGGGGUAAAAGGGGGGGGGGGGUUGAUUAAUUUUAGACCCUUACUAAAAUACACACACAAAAACCCACCAAGUGCAUUUGGGCUUCUUUGUAAUCUGAACUCUCAUGAACCAUAAUAUCAGCAAGUGAAAGGAAAACUGAUCUAAAUAAAUAAACUAUCCAUUGGGGGAAAACAACGUGAUUUAACUAUGUACAACAAAAAAUAAAUAUAACAUAAUAAUUUUAAUAUUACUAAUAAACAUGAACAGUGGCAUAAAAUGAGUUCUUACUCACAGUUCUAUAUUGAACUCCAUUAUUCCUUUAAAAUCACUGAUUGGAACCCCCACCACUCUCUCCUUUUGCAAAUAUUCAGCCUCAGCCUGUCGUCCUGCCUCUAUUUGCGGUUUUGAACAACUUAAUAUUAAAUUAUCGUCAUCUAAACACUCCCUGCGUAAAAACAAACUGCUUCAAAGUGACAAAUUAGAUUAUUAUUGCAUUAUUUGCCUCUGAAGAGGGGAGCUAAUUGUCCCAUGUGAUUUAGCAUAGCCAAAAGGAUUUAAUCCCCCAAGCACAAUAGUCAAUAUAGUUUUUUGUUUUUUUUUAGUUUGUUUUUAACUCGGUUUCUAUAAAUCCACAGUCAGUAUAGGGUUAAUAGCUGAUAAUAACUGCUAAUUUAUUACAGCUAGAAUUUUGAAAGAAUUAUAUCACUUGAAUAAAGUAGUUCUCCCCCCUUUACCUGUAGGUGAUGUUUAGAUAAUUGGAGAGACUCACAGACAACUGUAUGCUCUCCUACAAAAUCCCCUGUUUAACUUUAGGAAGAGCUUGUAUUUGCCCCUGUGUUACAGAGCCUAAUUCUCAGCUGCUGUGUGUUGGGGGGGUUGCUUUAAGUGCCCUGUUGCAAUUGUCCAUGGUUCUAAGGAAGGAGAUCUAAGCAUUUUUAGCUGCUUGCAUUGUUUUAUCAGCUCCUAAUGAUCCCCCCACCCAGCUGGACCCCUCAUUCAGGGGCACUCAGAGCUCUCACCCCAAACUGACCCCAAUCUGACUCUCAUAGAUGAUACCUUACCUUCUGUUAAAGCCAUUUGUAGGCAGGCUCAGUCAUUCUGUCAGCAGAACUGUCCGAUGCUUUGUGUUGGAUAAAUAAAAAUGGACUUUUACCCCAGUGGGUUUAUCCAAAACAGUGAUUCACGAAAAAAAAAAAAAAAAAAUUGGAAAGAAAGAAAGAAAUAGAAACAAAUAAAGGAAGAAAAUGAUCUCCUGGGCUCCGGAUACUUUGAUCCCGAAUGGAAAAAGAAAAAUAAGGUCCUUCAAAUGCAAAACAUUUCCUGAAUUUGAAACAGAACUAAACAUGUGACAAUAUUGCAGGGAUUACACAAAUAGGAGAAUUACAAAGAAGCCAUAGCACCAGAUUUAUUCAGAGUGAACCAGAAUUACA